CUGCUUGGGGAGUUAGACAGCCGAGGGCCUUCCAGAGGGACCAGCAGGGGGUGGGGGCAGCUACACCCGCUGAGACAGAGCUCCCCUCCCGCAGCUGCCAGUGCAGAGAGUACAUCUCGGCAGAGGAGCUCUGUGACGCCCAGUGUCUGGCCAGGGCCCCCCAGCUCUCCCUGGCCUGGGGGCCCCGCAGAAAGCUGAUCCUUGGCAUGAAGAGCGAGGCUGGGGACAGCGUCCAGAGGGUGAGCGCAGCUCAGGGAGGGGUCGGAAUGGAAGGGCAGCCUCUGCCCACUGGAGUCGGAGCAGGUGGGCCUCCCCAGGCACCUGUGGCUACAGAAAAUCCCAGCACCAGGCUCAAGAAACCAGGCGGCCAAAGGGCAAGCCAUCUGUGAGCCAGCCUUCCCUACCGGUCUUUUGUCGUCGGCCUGAAUUUCCCAUCGCGGGCUGGAGGGAAGGGCAGGGAGGAGGUAGGAGCGGUGUUCCUGUGUCAAUGCCAACCAGCCAGGAUGAAGGUCAGCGGGACCGUGGAAAGCAUCAGCUUCCCUUUAUACAAGUGUGACGUGAGGUCAAGGAACUGGCAAGCACGCUGGGCCCAGACAGGUUCUCCCAGGGUAGCGCCCGGGUCCACCUGGUCCAGUGUGGCCCCCACGGCCUCCUUGGCGUCAUCAUCUCCAGCGCAGACAUGCUCGGCUCCCUCCUUCUUGGUUUGCUCACCAGUUUCUAGAUCCGGGCACGUACGUGUUUCGCGACAACGGGCAGCCCGAGAGCAUGGCCGUGGUGCUGGUGAAGGCGAGGGGGGCGGCCUGUGAGCCAGGCCAGGCUCCUGUGCAGCCCUCCUCCCCCGAUCAGCUCGCCAGGCACGGGGUCCUCAGGCACCGCCUGCCCGACCUGGGCCCAGAUUGGGCAGCCAUCUCAG
rnacentral:lncRNA from 1 species